CAACAGGAAAGGCUUAAGGUACUUUUUGUUUCCGCUUUGCUUUAUGUGACGUGGGGGGAGGCAUGCGUAGCUUGCACGCUAUUCAGAUGAUGGCUGCCGGGAACGAAUAUCCUCGACUCGCUCGAGCUGCGAGAAGAGAUUUCUGAAAAAACGGCCCUCGCUUUGGAAUGAGGCCUUUGAAUCUUCUCUGCGUCGCACGCAGCGCGCACACAGAUGGCAAAAGAGGGAAAGAUUUUUAUAUAAAGUCGACAAGCGCGCUUGCAAGCGAGAUAAAAAAAAAGAGGAAGGAGAAGGCAGAAAAACAAAGAAAAAGAGUGAGUGAGUGAAGCACGCACUCUUGCUUAUCUCACUCUGUUGUGGCCCGUUAUAUGGCAAAGGUGUCAGGGAAAACUUAUCCAAGGAUUAAAAACCA